rnacentral:tRNA from 1 species
GAAGGUAUAGCUCAGUGGUAGAGUACAUGCUUAGCAUGCACAAGGUCCUGGGUUCAAUCCCUAGUACCGCCA